AGUGAACGCUGGCGGUAGGCCUAACACAUGCAAGUCGAACGGCAGCACAGUAAGAGCUUGCUCUUACGGGUGGCGAGUGGCGGACGGGUGAGGAAUACAUCGGAAUCUACUUUUUCGUGGGGGAUAACGUAGGGAAACUUACGCUAAUACCGCAUACGACCUACGGGUGAAAGCAGGGGAUCUUCGGACCUUGCGCGAUUGAAUGAGCCGAUGUCGGAUUAGCUAGUUGGCGGGGUAAAGGCCCACCAAGGCGACGAUCCGUAGCUGGUCUGAGAGGAUGAGCAGCCACACUGGAACUGAGACACGGUCCAGACUCCUACGGGAGGCAGCAGUGGGGAAUAUUGGACAAGGGGCGCAAGCCUGAUCCAGCCAUACCGCGUGGGUGAAGAAGGCCUUCGGGUUGUAAAGCCCUUUUGUUGGGAAAGAAAAGCAGCAGGUUAAUACCCCGCUGUUCUGACGGUACCCAAAGAAUAAGCACCGGCUAACUUCGU
rnacentral:rRNA from 1 species